rnacentral:lncRNA from 1 species
AUGUACCCCCCAUGUCCCCCCGUAUCCCCCAUAUCCCCCCAUGUACCCCCCAUAUCCCCCCGUAUCCCCCGUGUCCCCCCGUGUCCCCCCAUAUCCCCCAUGUCUCCCCCAUAUCCCCCAUAUCCCCCAUGUCUCCCCCAUAUCCCCCAUGUCUCCCCCAUAUCCCCCAUAUCCCCCAUGUCUCCCCCAUAUCCCCUGUGUCCCCCCCAUGUCCCCCCCACCCUCCAGGCGAGUCCCAGGCAGCCCCGGCUCUGCCCCACACCUGAGUGGGACACGGGGGGGGGGGGUGUGGGGUCGGGGGUGGCUGCAGCCCCCCGGCUCCGUGGGGCAGCCGUGGGGCAGGACAGAGCGUGGACACAGCGGCGUGGGGGGCUGGCACCGCCGUGGGUCACUGUGGGGCUGCCGUGGGGCUCCGUGGGGCCACCCGCGGCUGUCCGUGGGUCACGGGGACAUCUCCGUGGGUCGCCGUGUGGAUCCCCGUGGGGCUCGCUGGCUCACGGGGGGGCUCCGUGGAGCUGUCAGGGGCCCCUUGGGGCUCCGUGGGGCUUCCCCGCCCCCCGCUUGUCCCCGUGGGGGUCCCCGCGGCUCCCGGGGGCUUCUCCGUGGGUCCCUGUGGGGCGGCCGUGGGGCUGCCGCGACCCCCGCGGGGCUCCGUGGGUGACCGGGGGGGGCUCCGUGGGGCUCCCCCGCCCCCCCGCCGGGGGGGUCCGUGGGUUCCCCCUCGUGGGUCGCGCUUGGCCCCUCCCCCCCGGCCCCUCCCCCCCGGCCCCUCCCCCCGCCCCUCCCCCGCCCCCGCCCCUCCCGCUGCAGCAGCAGCCGCCGCCGCCGCCGCCCCACGGCCGCCCGCGCCCACCGCCCCACGGCCCCACCGACCCACGGCCCCACCGGCCCCACCGACCCUCCGGCCCCACCGCGCCGCCGCCGCCGCCCAGGCCAGAGCCCCCCCCGGCACAGCCCCCGCCUCAUCCCCAUCGCCAUCCUCAUCCUCAUCCUCAUCCCCAUCCCCAUCCUCAGCCUCCCGCAGCCCCCGACCUCCGCCCCACAGCGCCCAUCCCCGCCCCACAUCGGCCCCCCCGCUCCAUCUGCCCCCUCCCGCAUCCUCCCCCCCCCCCCGUUCCCAGCCCCACAUCGCUCCUGCCCCACAUCCCGCACCCUCCUUCCCCCCCCCCCCGCCCCGGACCCCCCUCCCCGCUCCAGCCCCACAUCCCGCAUCCCCCCCUCCUCCUCCUUCAGCCCCAGCCCCACAUCCCCCCCCCGGCCCCCCCCGGACCAUGCUCGACCCCCUCUGAGCGCCCCCCGCGCCCCCCCCCCGCCCUGGCCCCCCCCGCCCCGGGGCCCCCCCGCGCCCCCCCCCCGCCUGCGCUGAGCCCCGGGGGGGGGAUCCAGACCCCCCGCGGGGGGGGCGCUCGGGACCCCCCGGCCCCGCUGCCCAGGGGGGGUCGGGACCUCCGGGGCCCUUUGGGGGCGCCGCCGCUUUUUUAG